GACGAACGCUGGCGGCGUGCCUAAUACAUGCAAGUAGAACGCUGAAGGAGGAGCUUGCUCUUCUGGAUGAGUUGCGAACGGGUGAGUAACGCGUAGGUAACCUGCCUCGUAGCGGGGGAUAACUAUUGGAAACGAUAGCUAAUACCGCAUAACAGUAGAUGUUGCAUGACAUUUACUUAAAAGGUGCAAUUGCAUCACUACUAGAUGGCCCUGCGUUGUAUUAGCUAGUUGGUGGGGUAACGGCUCACCAAGGCGACGAUACAUAGCCGACCUGAGAGGGUGAUCGGCCACGCUGGGACGGAGACACGGCCAAGACUCCUACGGGAGGCAGCAGUAGGGGAUCUUCGGCAAUGGACGCAAGUCUGACCGAUCAACGCCGCGUGAGUGCAGAAGGUUGUCGGAUCGUAAAGCUCUGUUGUAAGAGAAGAACGUGUGUGAGAGUGGAAAGUUCACACUGUGACGGUAGCUUACCAGAAAGGGACGGCUAACUACGUG
rnacentral:rRNA from 1 species